GAUCCUGGCUCAGGAUGAACGCUAGCUACAGGCUUAACACAUGCAAGUCGAGGGGAAACGAUAUUGGAAGCUUGCUUCCGAUAGGCGUCGACCGGCGCACGGGUGAGUAACGCGUAUCCAACCUGCCCAUCACUUGGGGAUAACCUUGCGAAAGUAAGACUAAUACCCAAUGAUAUCUCUAGAAGACAUCUGAAGGAGAUUAAAGAUUUAUCGGUGAUGGAUGGGAAUGCGU
rnacentral:rRNA from 1 species